GGGUUAUUCCGUUACGAACGAGACCUUAACCUGCUAACUAGUCUACCUGUGAACAACAGGUUGUACUUCUUAGAGGGACUAUUGUGCAAGAAGCCAAUGGAAGUUUAAGGCAAUAACAGGUCUGUGAUGCCCCUAGACGUGCUCGGCCGCACGCGCGUUACAAUGACUGGCGCAGAAAGUAUUUCCUGUCCUGGGAAGGUACGGGUAAUCUUAUUAAUACCAGUCGUGUUAGGGAUAGUUCUUUGGAAUUUUGGAUCUUGAACGAGGAAUUUCUAGUAAGUGCAAGUCAUCAGCUUGCGUUGAUUAUGUCCCUGCCGUUUGUACACACCGCCCGUCGCUUGUAGUAACGAAUGGUCUGGUGAACCUUCUGGACUGUGACAGCAAUGUUACGGAAAAAUAAGUAAACCCUACCAUUUGGAACAACAAGAAGUCGUAACAAGGUAUCUGUAGGUGAACCUGCAGAUGGAUCAUUA
rnacentral:rRNA from 2 species